UGAAUCCGCGCGGGAGAGUCCCGGGAGCCGCACAGCCGCUCCGGGGCGCCGAAGGAGCAAGUCCCUCCCUUGAAUCUCUCAGGCCCCGAUACCGCGCGGGCGAG
rfam:Streptomyces sp. Tu6071 chromosome, whole genome shotgun sequence.